rnacentral:rRNA from 1 species
UGGGGAAUAUUGCACAAUGGGCGCAAGCCUGAUGCAGCCAUGCCGCGUGUAUGAAGAAGGCCUUCGGGUUGUAAAGUACUUUCAGUCGGGAGGAAGGUGUCAAGGUUAAUAACCUUGGCAAUUGACGUUACCGACAGAAGAAGCACCGGCUAACUCCGUGCCAGCAGCCGCGGUAAUACGGAGGGUGCAAGCGUUAAUCGGAAUUACUGGGCGUAAAGCGCACGCAGGCGGUUGAUUGAGUCAGAUGUGAAAUCCCCGGGCUUAACCCGGGAAUUGCAUCUGAGACUGGUCAGCUAGAGUCUUGUAGAGGGGGGUAGAAUUCCAUGUGUAGCGGUGAAAUGCGUAGAGAUGUGGAGGAAGACCGGUGGCGAAGGCGGCCCCCUGGACGAAGACUGACGCUCAGGUGCGAAAGCGUGGGGAGCAAACAGG